rnacentral:lncRNA from 1 species
GUAAUCAAAUUGCUUUAUCCUCCACUUCUGAUAUAGUCUGCCUUUAGCAAGAAUCCCCCUACCCAUCCUGUUUCCUCUUAGUAAUUUUCCAUCCACUAACUCCCCUCACUUUGCUCGUUUGUUGGCUGUGAAUUCCCAGCUGUCUUGGCUGUAUUUAGAGUUGAGCACAAUUUCUCUCCUAUUGCAAGAGUUAUGACCCCCUCCUGCAAUAGUCUUGAAUAAUGUCUUCCUCACCCUUUUAACAAGCGGCAGAGUAAUCUUUCUUUAACAGCAGUGAGUAAUCCUCUCACCCCAGGUUCCUGGAAGACCAUACUGAAGGUUUAGUAAUCUCAGUGUCCUGAUCUGUAAAAUUGAAAUGUUGAUAAUCCCUGCUCUCUGUUCUAGUGAAGAAGUGGCAAAGCCCGGAAAAGAUAAUAUGAAAGUGUCUUCUAAAAGGUUACACUCUCUACAGAUGUUAGCGACUUGUAUCUUUCCUCCUUAGUCAUAUCUUACUUCCUUAGACAAAGAUGUAAGAGGCAAAUCGAAAACUGUAUCUGCUACUUCUCAGACUUUUCCUAUAAAGCACCCCCAGAAACAGUGAAGAGAUAACGUUACCCUCAAGGAGUCUAAAGAUAGAGCCUCAAGUAGUCCCCCUCAAGAAAUGUAUUUGAAGAAGCAUGUUUUUCUUUAAAAGGAAUACCCAGUGCACAGCUGUGGAGCGACUGAGAUGAGCACGAGAAGAUCUCUGCCGUCCAGGAGCCUGCUGCCCACUUAGCAAGACCGGCAUCAGACGUUUUCUUAGGCAUGAAACACAAAAAGCAAAGUAAAGUGGACUUGGGAAGAAUAGUCCUGAAGACUCCCUGAAGACGAGAGACACUGAUUUCCUCUCUUCUUUCAUUACUAAGCAUUUUGAAAGGAGACAGUAAUACAUCCUUCGUUUCCACGUUCUCUUUAAAGACUUCUGUGUUCUCACUUCUGUCCCCCGUCCUCUACUUGCACUGUUCUUAAACAUAGUAUUAUUGGUAAGUCUCACUCUCUCUGUUCUACGGGGCUUCUUGUCUCAACUACAUUUUUGUUUCAUCAAGUAUCUGCAAAGAAAUAAGAAUAAAUUUCCUUAGAGUAUUUGUGUUUGUGCUCACGUCCUUUCUCCCCACCUGGACUGAAGCAAAUGUGGUUUUUAUUAUACUCAAAUUGUAAAACUAAAACCAUUAAAAAUGUAAAUAUCUGGUUCCUCAGGUAUGUGCCUCGCCCUCAAAAAAACUACCACACUAUGGCAUAUUUAUAAUCCUUUUUACACUUAUUGUCAAAGUAUUUGUUUCUUACCGUAUUACAAAUUUUUAUUAUGUAAUAUUUGAUACAUAAAUAUAUAAAACAUAUAAGUAAGUUGUGAAGCAUAAUAAUAAAAUAAGCAGCUGUGAAUCUGCUACUCAACUUAAUACCUAGAGCAAUGCAGUAUCAUUGAAUCUGCCCAUUUGUUCUAUCCCUUUCUUGUUUCCUGCUUCAGGAGGAGUAACCACUACCCUGAAUUUUGUGUGUCUUUUCCUUGCUUUGUUUUUUCCCUGUAGAAAAAAGUAUAACCACAUGUAUCUGUAUCUUUAAACAUAUACGUUGUUUAGCUUUCUUGUUUUUGUCUUCUAAAACAUUAUGCCAUCUAUAUAGUCUUCUGCCUUUGAUUUUUUUCACUCGUAAUUAUAAUUCUUAUACCCAUUCCUGUUGCCACAAUUCUUAUAGGUCUAUCAUAUGAAUAUAUCGUUUUAUUCAUUCUUAUGAUAAUGGCCAUCUGAGUUAUUUCCAUCUUUGCUGUUACAAAUAAUGCAGCUGGGAACAUUCAGGUACAUGUCUCCUGCGUGGAAUUGCUGGCUGGAACUGCUGAAUCAUAGGGUAUGCCCACAUCCAACCUCAUUAGAUAAUCCUAGAUUAUAUUACUAAGUGGUUAUGCCAUUUUACCACCCCUCCCGGCAGUGGAUAAGACUCCACGUUUUCAACACUUAAUAUUUUAAGGUUCUUAAUUUUUGCUAAUUUACUGGGUAUAAUGCAUAUCUCAAUGUAGUCUUAAUUUGCAUUUCCCUGAUCACUAAUGUGAUUGGGCAUCUUUUCCUAAAUUGAUUAUGAAAAUGUUUCCUCUUCUGUCAAUUGCCUGUUCAC